AGUCUGUUCUCUCAGCAACUUGUUGACAGGACUUGUAUGUUGUGUCAAGCUGCUGAAGUUUGUACUAAGUGAUGGCAUCCUCAAGUUGUUCUCAUCUGAUGGUAUCAUCAAUUCCAUCCUUGAUGAUACACUUUCCUUAUCUCUUCCUGCAUUAUGACCUAUCUUGGAUAUGUUGCUUGUUGUCCUUUGCAGUUCAGGAAUCUGCCUUGAGGUGCUAUUACUACCAUUUCUCUCCCACUUAGACGGAUAUGUGAAUUCCAAUGGCAUUGAUGAAGCAAGGUUAACAUUUCUUGACUUUCUGGUA
rnacentral:lncRNA from 1 species